rnacentral:lncRNA from 1 species
CACCUGAGUAGCUGAGAGUAUAUGCAUGUGCCACAGCACCCAGCUGUUUUCUUUCUCAGCACCAGAAGUCGAACUCAGGACCUUGCACUUGCCAGGAGCCGCUCAGACUCACGCAACCCUGUAGCGUUUCUUCCAGUCCCUGAGGACUCUGUGCCCUGCAAGUUGUGCCCUCCUCACCUCCUCUACCGAGUACUUCCCGACCUCACUCCUGGAGUCUCAUUCCCCGGUGCUCCAUUCCUGCUGCUCCCUUCUCUCCUCCGAGGUCACCAUCCAGGAAUUCUGGCUCCAGAAGCCCGGAGGGCAGACAUUGGACUCACCACGCUCACUACCCACAUGGCGGCGGAACCACUGAGCUACAUCCCCUGCCCGACGGUGACUGACGUCUCGAGAGCAGUCUCACCAACCAGCCCGAUGCACCACCUGUGUAGUCAUUACCAGCAGGAUCUGACCUCAUGCAGGGCUCUUCCAGGGCCAGACAGUUGAUGGUGCUCUGCUCUUCAAGGCCAGGCAGGGCGAGGCUGUGUG